rnacentral:RNase_P_RNA from 1 species
GCGAGCUGGAGGGCAUCUCACGCUACAGAGAAAUCAGCGAAAGCUGAUUUUGAGUAAGCGAGGAAACUCCGCCCAUCGCUGCGGAACCCAACUCUUCGAAAGAGGAGGGGCCGAGAGGCUCAGCUCUGGAGCAGAAACGACACUUCGACGGGAGCAUAUCGAGGACGGCGAAAGCCUGAGAGCGACCGGAGAAGAUGAAACGGCCAACUUUGGGGAUGCAAGCUAAAAAUCGCCAACGGGCUCCGCACCCGGCGGUAGGUCAAGCGCUAAGACGAAUGAUGUCCAAAAGGGAAGCCUCCCUUUUGGAGAAUUCCCUCUUUAGAUUCGUCUAAUAUAGGGGUUCUCCAAGGGGUGAGCCCCUUGGAACAGAAGGCGGGUUACUCCCAGCACGC